AGAUCCGCCCUGCCCCCACCCAAGUCUGAGCUCCUGCGUUCUCCUACCUCCAGGACCUUCUGCCUAGAACAGAUGUCGUUGUUGUUUAGUCGCUAAGUCGUGUCCGACUCUUUGCUACCCAGUGGACUGUAGCCCUGCCAGGCUCAUCUGUCCAUGGGAUUUCCCAGACAAGAAUACUGGAGGGGAUCACGCUGUAGGAGGCAAGGGUCUACUUUUGUUCCAUCCACACCCCCAGUACCUGAACGUGCCUGGCCCACAGCUGGGGCCCAACGCAAACUUGCUGAAUGAAUGAAUGAGCUAUAACCUAAAGAAGUCGGGAGUCUUGGGGAAGGCAGACAUGAAGAUGAGUAACCUGCAAAAGAAAAUGCAAGGGGUCUGAGAAAUCCAGAUAAUUCAGCUCAAGGUUGAAGGAGGGGCUGUAGGCAUUCUGUCCCCUCGCCCUCACCCUGGACGCCAUGGACAACCUCUGGGAGCUGGGACCUCAUCCGUGUGCUCCGAAGCUGAUCACAGAGGGAAGGAGGCGGGUUAGAAUCUGAAGGUGAUCAGAAACCGGACUGGGGAUGCAAGGAGCUUGGUGAUGCCGACCACCGGCUGGCCCCGCUGAGAACCUGAGGCACCCUCAGAGAAGAGAGACUUGAGGGGGCGAGAAGGCAAGGCAGGAACACAGAAAGAAAAAUAGGAUUGGGGAGAGGAAGGAGAGAGAGGAAAUUCUUGGGCACAGUCCUAAUCAUAGCCUUGAAAUGAAAUUUACUGCUGCACUCAGCAUGGGACGCCAGCCAGCGCCGCCAAACCAGCCCCCCUUCUGUUUGGAUUAGUCGAUGACAUCAUGGCCAUGGGCCAUCACUCCCAACACCAAAGGAAGAGCAGGAUGGCGGGCGGGAAACCUGAGCCUCCUGCCUCUGGCUUCCAGGGAGGGGAACCUGAAACCAGGAAAACUCAACCGCAACCCUCCCCUGCUGAGCUGGGCAGCCAGUCCCCCAGC
ensembl:lncRNA